rnacentral:tRNA from 1 species
GGUUGGCUAGCUCAGUUGGUUAGAGCGUGGUGCUAAUAACGCCAAGGUCGUCGGUUCGACCCCGGCGGUUGGCCA